rnacentral:misc_RNA from 1 species
AUCAUUAGAAUUAACAGAUCUAUGAGGCACAUCAGUCACCUGCAGACUUCACAGAAGUUUCCGUCGGGGCUCGAAGUGUUGUGCACUCUUAUUUAGGACUCUUGUGUGGUUGUUAAACAAACCUCAUUUUCUCUACAAAGAAUGUUAUUUUCUAGUGAUGAAGAGAAAUGUUAUAUUACUAUGAUUGAAAAAAGAACUUCCAAAUAUGAGGAAAAGGAUAAUUUUUCGGACAUCGUUCUGGUGGUAGAAAACAAAAAGCUUCAUGUAAAUAAAACUUUGCUAAUGAUGCAUUCACCUGUGUUCAUGACCAUGUUCACGGCCAGGUUCAUUGAAAAGGAUUUAUCAGAGAUUCCACUUCCAGGAAAGAAAGUGAAUUUAAUGGUGGAGCUAUUGGACCAAAUCCAUCCCGGGUACACUAAUGAAAAAUUUCACGCUGAAACUCUACGUGAACUUCUUCAACUCGCCGAUGAGUAUGGUGUGCAACAGGUCUUUCACAACUGCCUAGCCCACUUCGACAGACGCAUAAAUUGCAAGCAUCAUGCCAUGAAGAUUGAUGAAAUUUUACUCUUCCUUGGGAUAGUCGAAGAGUGGAGCAACGAAUACGAUCAACUAAGUUCGUUUAGAUCGGCUCUAAUUGAAAGGGCAAGUAAAGUAGGAACGUGUCAUUUGAAAAAAAGCAAAUAUUUUUCUUCUGUAUCUACUACAGCGCAAAGAGACAUCCUCAUGUGUCGUCUUGAGACAGCCGAAAGGAAAUAUAAACUAAAGAUCUAGAGUUAAACAAUUGACUAGUAUGAUUGAAACUACUGAUGGCUUUUCAUUGUAAUCCUUUGUGAUGAGCCUUUGUGUCAGACACAUCUUAUAAACACCCACAUAAGAUUUUCUGUGAAACAUUUAGGACGAUUCAGAGUUCUGUGAGUCAAUCUCAGGAUUCAUUACGAUUACUUUUGUAACAAAAGCAUAAAAUGUAUCGAUAGAUCAUUACUAAUAUUCAUCAAUUGGAAUAGUUUGCGCUGUUUAUAUGUGAGAUUAGUUUGAUGUUACACGGGGUACAAUUAAUCUCAUUAGACUUCAUGCCAGCAGUCUACACAAAAGUUAUAUCGGACAUUCCUAUAUUGAACGAUAGCACAUGUUAGACGAUAUUUUAUAUUAACUGAAACUAUUUUGAUAGUAAAUAUAUUUUUAAAUUUCAUCUAGAGAUUCUGUGUAUCGUCAGUUUGCAGAUAAACAGAUUUUGGUCAGGUUACAUCCAAGGAACCUACACUUGCACAGCACACUACAGUUAGUAACUCAAUUUCUAGCCAAAUACUUUUUUACUAUUAUUUUUGCCAGACUGUCUGCUACUCAGUAUUUAGUAGCAUUGCGUGUUCAAAUUGCCAACUAUUAUGUUGCACUAACACUAAAUCUUACGGAAGACAUCGUUUAUAUGAGUAGUUUGUGUAGUGGAAGUGAUCAAAGCUAUGUGUAACUAUGUCUGAGAGUAAUAUACCGCAAGUAACCCAUAAGUAAGUUUACAUUUAAUUUCAUUCUCAUCUAUUCUAAUAGCAAAUAAAGGUGUGUACUUAAC